GACGCAGGGGGCUAGCGUUGUUCGGAAUUACUGGGCGUAAAGCGAGUGUAGGUGGUUGUUCAAGUUGGAUGUGAAAGCCUUGAGCUCAACUCAAGAAAUGCAUUCAGGACUGAGCGACUAGAGGACCGGAGAGGAUAGUGGAAUUCCCAGUGUAGUGGUGAAAUACGUAGAGAUUGGGAAGAACACCAGUGGCGAAGGCGGCUAUCUGGACGGUUUCUGACACUAAGACUCGAAAGCGUGGGGAGCAAACAGG
rnacentral:rRNA from 1 species